rnacentral:rRNA from 1 species
AACAGGGAUUGCUCUAGUAACGGCGAGUGAAGCAGCAAUAGCUCAAAUUUGAAAUCUGGCGUCUUCGACGUCCGAGUUGUAAUUUGUAGAGGAUGCUUCUGAGUGGCCACCGACCUAAGUUCCUUGGAACAGGACGUCAUAGAGGGUGAGAAUCCCGUAUGCGGUCGGAAAGGCGCUCUAUACGUAGCUCCUUCGACGAGUCGAGUUGUUUGGGAAUGCAGCUCUAAAUGGGAGGUAAAUUUCUUCUAAAGCUAAAUAUUGGCCAGAGACCGAUAGCGCACAAGUAGAGUGAUCGAAAGAUGAAAAGCACUUUGGAAAGAGAGUUAAAAAGCACGUGAAAUUGUUAAAAGGGAAGGGAUUGCAACCAGACUUGCUCGCGGUGUUCCGCCGGUCUUCUGACCGGUCUACUCGCCGCGUUGCAGGCCAGCAUCGUCUGGUGCCGCUGGAUAAGACUUGAGGAAUGUAGCUCCCUCGGGAGUGUUAUAGCCUCUUGUGAUGCAGCGAGCGCCGGGCGAGGUCCGCGCUUCGGCUAGGAUGCUGGCGUAAUGGUCGUAAUCCGCCCGUCUUGAAACACGGACCAAGGAGUCUAACAUCUAUGCGAGUGUUCGGGUGUCAAACCCCUACGCGUAAUGAAAGUGAACGGAGGUGAGAACCGCAAGGUGCAUCAUCGACCGAUCCUGAUGUCUUCGGAUGGAUUUGAGUAAGAGCAUAGCUGUUGGGACCCGAAAGAUGGUGAACUAUGCCUGAAUAGGGUGAAGCCAGAGGAAACUCUGGU